AGAGUUUGAUCAUGGCUCAGAUUGAACGCUGGCGGCAGGCCUAACACAUGCAAGUCGAGCGGAUGAAAGGAGCUUGCUCCUUGAUUCAGCGGCGGACGGGUGAGUAAUGCCUAGGAAUCUGCCUGGUAGUGGGGGACAACGUUUCGAAAGGAACGCUAAUACCGCAUACGUCCUACGGGAGAAAGCAGGGGACCUUCGGGCCUUGCGCUAUCAGAUGAGCCUAAGUCGGAUUAGCUAGUUGGUGAGGUAAUGGCUCACCAAGGCGACGAUCCGUAACUGGUCUGAGAGGAUGAUCAGUCACACUGGAACUGAGACACGGUCCAGACUCCUACGGGAGGCAGCAGUGGGGAAUAUUGGACAAUGGGCGAAAGCCUGAUCCAGCCAUGCC
rnacentral:rRNA from 1 species